rnacentral:rRNA from 2 species
AGUCUGACGGAGCAACGCCGCGUGAGUGAUGAAGGUUUUCGGAUCGUAAAGCUCUGUUGUUAGGGAAGAACAAGUGCAAGAGUAACUGCUUGCACCUUGACGGUACCUAACCAGAAAGCCACGGCUAACUACGUGCCAGCAGCCGCGGUAAUACGUAGGUGGCAAGCGUUGUCCGGAAUUAUUGGGCGUAAAGGGCUCGCAGGCGGUUUCUUAAGUCUGAUGUGAAAGCCCCCGGCUCAACCGGGGAGGGUCAUUGGAAACUGGGAAACUUGAGUGCAGAAGAGGAGAGUGGAAUUCCACGUGUAGCGGUGAAAUGCGUAGAGAUGUGGAGGAACACCAGUGGCGAAGGCGACUCUCUGGUCUGUAACUGACGCUGAGGAGCGAAAGCGUGGGGAGCGAACAGGAUUAGAUACCCUGGUAGUCCACGCCGUAAACGAUGAGUGCUAAGUGUUAGGGGGUUUCCGCCCCUUAGUGCUGCAGCUAACGCAUUAAGCACUCCGCCUGGGGAGUACGGUCGCAAGACUGAAACUCAAAGGAAUUGACGGGGGCCCGCACAAGCGGUGGAGCAUGUGGUUUAAUUCGAAGCAACGCGAAGAACCUUACCAGGUCUUGACAUCCUCUGACAACCCUAGAGAUAGGGCUUUCCCUUCGGGGACAGAGUGACAGGUGGUGCAUGGUUGUCGUCAGCUCGUGUCGUGAGAUGUUGGGUUAAGUCCCGCAACGAGCGCAACCCUUGAUCUUAGUUGCCAGCAUUUAGUUGGGCACUCUAAGGUGACUGCCGGUGACAAACCGGAGGAAGG